AGCCUUCUAAAUCCGUACCGAGAUUUCAACAGACGCCAGACCAUCAAAACUGGUUAGACUCUUAAGAUAAGUGGAGCA
rnacentral:pre_miRNA from 1 species